rnacentral:rRNA from 1 species
AUGUCACCCCUCUCGAAGCCAAGAUUAGCCACAAGAGCUCUCCAACACAUCAUCCUUCUCGCCCUCCUCCUUCCAUGUCUCCCCCAACCUCUCCCCGCCCCCUCCCCCUCCCCGACGCCGGCGCAGCCGUCCCUGCCGCUCUCGCCGUUCAACGAGCGCCUCGACGCGGCGUACAUCGCCUUCCAGGCGUGGAAGCACGUCAUCACCGAGGACCCCAAGAACCUGACCGCUGACUGGUGUGGCCCCUUCGUGUGCAACUACACCGGCGUGUUCUGCGCCGCCGCGCCCGACGACCCGUGCAUCCUCACCGUGGCGGGCGUCGACCUCAACCACGGCCGCAUCGCCGGCGUCCUCACCGACCACCUCGGCCUCCUGGCCGAUCUCGCGGUCCUCCACCUCAACUCCAACCGGUUCCACGGCACGCUGCCGACGUCCAUGCAGCACAUGCGCCUCCUUUUCGAGCUGGACGUCAGCAACAACCUCCUCUCCGGCGCCUUCCCGUCGUUCCUCACCUCUCUGCCGUCGCUCAAGUACCUCGACCUCAGGUUCAACGACUUCGACGGCGAGCUCCCGGACGCGGUGUUCGGCCGGCAGCUCAGCCUGGACGCGCUGUUCGCCAACGACAACCGCUUCAACGUGUCGCUGGCGUCGGGGAGCCUGACCAACUCCACAGCGUCGGUCAUCGUGCUCGCCAACACCAAGCUGGCCGGCUGCCUGCCGCCGAGCAUCGGCGACAUGGCCGACACGCUCGUGGAGCUCAUCCUGCUCAACACCAGCAUCAGCUCCUGCAUCCCGCCGGAGAUCGGCAAGCUGAAGAAGCUCAAGGUGCUGGAUCUCAGCCACAACGAGUUCGCGGGGGAGCUGCCGGAGAGCAUCGGGGACAUGGAGAGCCUGGAGGUGAUCAACGUGGGGUACAACAUGCUGUCCGGCGCGGUGCCGGAGACCAUCUGCUUGCUGCCGAACCUGAAGAACCUGACGGUCGUGGGCAACUACUUCUGCGAGGAGCCGGUGUCCUGCCUCCACGUCCCCCGGCGCGACGACCGGAUGAACUGCAUCCCCGACUGGCCGCACCAGCGGUCGCACGAGCAGUGCAUCGCCUUCGAGCACCGCCCGCCGGUGCACUGCGGCGCCGACGGCUGCAUUCUUCCGCCGCCGUGA